rnacentral:rRNA from 1 species
GACGAACGCUGGCGGCGUGCUUAACACAUGCAAGUCGAACGAAGAGCGAUGGAAGCUUGCUUCUAUCAAUCUUAGUGGCGAACGGGUGAGUAACGCGUAAUCAACCUGCCCUUCAGAGGGGGACAACAGUUGGGAACGACUGCUAAUACCGCAUACGAUCUAAUCUCGGCAUCGAGGAUAGAUGAAAGGUGGCCUCUACAUGUAAGCUAUCACUGAAGGAGGGGAUUGCGUCUGAUUAGCUAGUUGGAGGGGUAACGGCCCACCAAGGCGAUGAUCAGUAGCCGGUCUGAGAGGAUGAACGGCCACAUUGGGACUGAGACACGGCCCAGACUCCUACGGGAGGCAGCAGUGGGGAAUCUUCCGCAAUGGACGAAAGUCUGACGGAGCAACGCCGCGUGAGUGAUGACGGCCUUCGGGUUGUAAAGCUCUGUUAAUCGGGACGAAAGGCCUUCUUGCGAAUAGUGAGAAGGAUUGACGGUACCGGAAUAGAAAGCCACGGCUAACUACGUG